AAGAGUACUCCAUCGUCCAUUCUCCACAAAACUAUCGUUGUCGACACGUCCAAAGUCCAUCCAUCCACAAAACUCAAUUCACCAUUGAAAGCAGUCAUCUUUGUCAAGCGGCUAACCCUAAAUUCCCAAGGUCCAUUCGUUAACCCAAAACCCCCUAAUCUCGACUGCUAACCCUAAACUCCCAAAUCCUCAAAAUUCCAAAAUCCCCAAAGUCCUAAAAUCCAUUUAUUUCACUCGAAGGAGAUGAAGAACAUAAGAAUAAUUAAAGGCAACGAUUACAGUUGAAGAAAUAUUCCAAUCGCGAGAAAUUUUCGAUCCAAAAGGCAAUCUGUGAGUAAUCAUUUUCAGCUCUGAGGAUCCAGAUGAGGAGAUAAAAGAAUUGUUGGCAAUAUACAGUAGCAACCCCGAUUCAGAACACCGUUUGAAGUCACUUUUAUCCGGAAUAAUUUCUACUUUUGCUGGUAACAAGUCCAUUAGAGAGAUAAUAGAGGAGCUAGAAAAUCAUCAGCAAAGUGCUGAUACAUUGGGUAAGCUUUCACAAAUAAGACUUUUCUCAUAGAUGAAUUCAUGUUCUCUCUAUUUUAUACUAUUUUUUCUCCACAAAUGAAUCUUGUAUCUUAUUUUCCAAUCAAUGAGUAAACUUUAGAGCCAUGCUUUAUUUUCAUUUUU